rnacentral:rRNA from 1 species
UGCGUAGGCGGUUAAUCAAGUUGGUAGCGUAAUCCCAGGGCUCAACCUUGGAACUACUACCAAAACUGGUUGGCUUGAGUGCGGCAGGGGUAUGUGGAAUUCCUAGUGUAGCGGUGGAAUGCGUAGAUAUUAGGAGGAACACCAGAGGCGAAAGCGACAUACUGGGCCGUAACUGACGCUGAGACACGAAAGCGUGGGGAGCAAACA